UACGGGGGGGGCAAGCGUUGUUCGGAAUUACUGGGCGUAAAGGGCUCGUAGGUGGCCAACUAAGUCAGACGUGAAAUCCCUCAGCUUAACUGGGGAACUGCGUCUGAUACUGGAUGGCUUGAGUUUGGGAGAGGGACGCGGAAUUCCAGGUGUAGCGGUGAAAUGCGCAGAUAUCAGGAGGAACACCAAUUGCGAAGGCAGCUCGCUGGGACGUUACUGACGCUGAGACGCGAAAGCGUGGGGAGCAAACAGG
rnacentral:rRNA from 1 species